rnacentral:misc_RNA from 1 species
CCAAAACAUGACUUGACUACUGAAGCGUGAAGAGCCCGAAGCCGCAGGAAGCCAGAGUCAGCCGCACCAGCCUGUUUCGGUCGCACCUUCGUCACCUCCCGUGGAUUCUGAAAAAUCAGUCCGAUAAACUGAAAACCUGAAGCGUAGGAAAUUCAGCAAGAUGCCGGUGGGUGGUCGAGUCGCUGGGAAAGUCGGGAUAUACAACAAUCAUUACAACGGAAGAAGCCAUAGCGGGAUCAACGAAGAGAUCAUAUGGAUUAGCAUAGGCAUGGGCAUCACAAUCGCCGUACUAAUUACCAUAGCUCUCUGCUACAUCGUCAGAGAGAAAUGCCAGAAGCGUCACGAGGGGUAUUACGCUUCCCUGCCGCCACCGUUGUGGGCGGCACCCUUAAAUCCACCACCUGGAAUUAUCGUGAGUCCAACGCCAUCCAGAGGUAGUCCAAAGGCCUACUACAUCACGGUUUAGGAGCAAAUUAUCCGCGCGAGAAUCCGAAGCGUUAGCAUAUUCAAGACAAAAGAAGGAGUGUUUAAUUAAUUUUAGUAUACAGCAGCGAGUGGGUACCUGGAUGAUAACGUAAAGUUGGUUAAUUUAAACUUUUCCCAAGGAGUUCGCGGUUGUACAGCACUCUGCGCUGCUUAGAGAGCCAAUGAAAUUAAUUCCGAAACGUGACGAGCUCGGCUGAACGUUCGGUCUGACGGUGCGAGGAUCGCUCAGCUCUGAUAUGUAAAACCAUGCCAAAAGGAUCACGUGUUCCGAACAGCUUUAGAAUUCGUCGAAUCUUCUGUAAUUAUGUAUAUGUAACCCAUAACUGUACCUAUAAUAUAUACACAUGUAUGUAUAUCGUAUAGAUUGUACGUGCAAUCGGAUCGAUACGCUUUAAAACGGUUAUACAUUCAACUCGUCUAUUACCUACCGACUUUUUUUUUUAACAAUUGUGAAUAUCACAGGCAAAGUCGAUGAAUAUUAUUACGUAAGCACGCACGUAAUUAUGUAAUGUAGAGAUUGUAUAAUCAGGAUCUUCAUAAACGUGGGUAAGGUUGUUGUAUAAUUUAGUAUAAUAUAGACUGAUGAUAAUUUUCUAGACAUUUUCUAACCGAAGAUACUUGCAUGAUUUCCAUACCUAAUGUUUUCUAUUUUCGUACACGAUUUUUAUCGUCAUCUUUGGUGGACUUUUCACAUUGCAUUAUGGAACUACCCUCCGUCUACGUAUACUUACAUGCACCGUCUGAAGUAUAUACCUAUGUAUAAUGUGUGUUUCUGUAUAGAUAUAGAAAUAACGAUUAUUGAUAGAAAAAGUGAUGGAAACAAAUUUCAAACUGCGUAUAGAGUUGAGUUAUUGGCCUUCAAUGAAAGUGUAAUAUUGAUUAUAUA